GAUGAACGCUGGCGGCGUGCCUAAUACAUGCAAGUCGAGCGAACAGACGAGGAGCUUGCUCCUCUGACGUUAGCGGCGGACGGGUGAGUAACACGUGGAUAACCUACCUAUAAGACUGGGAUAACUUCGGGAAACCGGAGCUAAUACCGGAUAAUAUAUUGAACCGCAUGGUUCAUUAGUGAAAGACGGUUUUGCUGUCACUUAUAGAUGGAUCCGCGCCGCAUUAGCUAGUUGGUAAGGUAACGGCUUACCAAGGCAACGAUGCGUAGCCGACCUGGGAGAGGGAUCGGCCACACUGGAACUGAGACACGGUCCAGACUCCUACGGGAGGCAGCAGUAGGGAAUCUGCCGCAAUGGGCGAAAGCCUGACGGAGCAACGCCGAGUGAGUGAUGAAGGUCUUCGGAUCGUAAAACUCUGUUAUUAGGGAAGAACAAAUGUGUAAGUAAAUAUGCACGUCUUGACGGUACCUAAUCAGAAAGCCACGGCUAACUACGUG
rnacentral:rRNA from 1 species